AACGAACGCUGGCGGCAGGCUUAACACAUGCAAGUCGAGCGCACCGCAAGGUGAGCGGCAGACGGGUGAGUAACGCGUGGGAAUCUACCCAACCCUACGGAAUAACCCAGGGACACUUGGACUAAUACCGUAUACGCCCUUUUGGGGAAAGAUUUAUCGGGGAUGGAUGAGCCCGCGUUGGAUUAGCUAGUUGGUGGGGUAAAGGCCUACCAAGGCGACGAUCCAUAGCUGGUCUGAGAGGAUGAUCAGCCACAUUGGGACUGAGACACGGCCCAAACUCCGACGGGAGGCAGCAGUGGGGAAUAUUGGACAAUGGGCGCAAGCCUGAUCCAGCCAUGCCGCGUGAGUGAUGAAGGCCUUAGGGUUGUAAAGCUCUUUCAGUAGGGAAGAUAAUGACGGUACCUACAGAAGAAGCCCCGGCUAACUUCGU
rnacentral:rRNA from 1 species